GAGGGGUCCAGACUGAGGCGGGGAGGGAGGAGGGUGGGAGGGGGGCAGGCCAUGAUGGAGACGGGCGAAGUGUUAAGCCUCCUUCCUGGCUCUGACUGAGAGGCCAGACCGGGGGACUAGACCCCGCCUUAGCUCUGAUCUAGGCGUUUCCAUUCACAGAUCCAGGCCGGCCAAGAGCCAGGGGGAUUGCCAGAGUCCCAGUGAAUGCCUUCAGGGAGUCUGGGGGGAUGUGCAGGCUUGUCGGGCGGAUUUUAGGGCUGAGGAAAGCCCCCAGCCCCAGUCCCCCAGCCCACAUCUGGGAGACCCUCCAACUCUCACCGCAGUGCCUUGUCAGAUCUCCCCAUCAGGAAGCAAGUGUGUGUCCACAGGAGCGGGCUUGUUGCUCCUACUCCCAAGGCGGGCGAUGCAUCUGAGAGACAGGGCCAGAGGCGGGGUGAGAGGGGGUGGGCGGUUGUUGGAGGGUUUGGGGGGAUGGGCGUGAGCCCCUCCCCAGCCCAGUUGCAGGCAGUUAGCAUUCUCUUCGGGGAGGGGAUGGAGAGGCACUCCCCUCCCAUGGCCUGGGGUCCAGGGGGGUUUAGAGCUCCCUCCAGCCCCACUCUCAACACAUCCCAGCAUCCCAAACGGGCCCAAGGAGCAGCUGCGUUCCGCUGCCCAACCCCCGACCUCACCGGCCCACCACUCUGGGCCUCAGGAGGAGCCAGAGUUAAGAGGUUAAGCACCCACCCAAAGUGGACCUGUCUUGGACAGGGGACAGGGUUUCAGUUCCUGGUCAGGGAGGAUUCCACAUGCUGCAGAGCACGGACUCUGGAGCCCAUGGGCCGCAACUACUGGAGCCCAUUCGGCAAGGAGAAACCACCGCAAAGGUUAGCCCACACCCCGCAGCCAUGCGCAGCGCCCGCGCGUCUCAACUGGAGAAAGUCACCACGCAGCACCGAGGACCCAGCACAGUCCAAAAAAAAAGCCAAGGUGGUCCUGUCUCUGCCCAAUCGACUGUGGGGGCACCAGGUUCUUCAAAUCUGGCCUCAUGGGUCUUGGUUCUCGGGUAUUCCUUGUAUCCUGCGGGUCCUCUCAGCUUCGUAUUAAGCCCAUCAGCUGGUCUGUGCUCAUUCCUCAGGGACGGGACGAGAUAUGACAACGAGCAGGAGAAAAAGAAAGAAAGCAAAGUCUCAGCCUGGCUUCUGAGUUUCAAAAGCAGCCGUUGGUCUGGACACGACAUGCAGGUUCGUCUGGGAGCAUCCUGCUCACUCCCGUUGCCUCUAAGCUCCCUCCUCCCUUCACCCUCCUACCCUCGUGAUCAUUGCCUGCACCUGCAGUUCCCCUGGGGAGUCCUCUCUGAGCCUUCUCUGCAGGCUCAGCCUCCAGCAAAAAGAGCCCCGUGUUCUAACUCAAGAGGACUCAGCUGAGGGACGCCCACCAGAGAUGACCUCAGCAACCCCUCCAGUCGCUCAGUCAACAAGUACUUAUCGAAGGUCUUCCCUGCGCCAGAUGCUGUUUCAGAUGCUGGACAUUCAGCAGUGAACAAACAGACAAAAACCUCUGCCCUUGUGGGCUCGCAUCCCAGUACUGUUACCAUAGUAACAGGCCUUGAGCACCACUCGGUCCCCCCACAUCUGUCCCGAGAGUUGGAAACAUCCUGAUGGCACAGACAGCACUUCCCUCCGGGGUCUCCACGAAGCUGGGGUGUCACUGGCACAGCUCUUUCUCUCCCCUUGACCCGGCUCCCCCGAGGCCACGGGUAUCACGGGGCAAGGGUGCGCCUGGCACAGCGCUGGUAUGAGGCCGUGAUUGUCAGACUCAGCAGUGGCUUUGGCAGUUCAAGCGCCUUCAGCUACCAUUGCCGUUUGGUGUGUUUCUGUUUUGCUCUAACUGAAACUUAGUGCUUCUCUUUCAAUGUAUUUUCAAUCUGUUAUGUAAUUGCAUAUCAUUACAUAAUAGUAAAAAAAAAAAAAAUUUGUGUCCCUAUUGUUCAUAAAAUUGUCCUGUUUUAGGAAAUAACUUACCUGGAAGCUUGACUCACCUAGAGUGGGGCACGUCAGGUCAAGCGCUCUGCGGUACCAUUCAUCUGUUCAGGUAGCAUUAGUUGAACAUCUGCCCCCACAGCAGAUGCCGAGAGUGGGAGUGGGAGCCCAGGGAGACCCCUGUUUAGAGAGGCCUGUUUUC
ensembl:lncRNA